rnacentral:lncRNA from 1 species
CACGCGCGCCUCCAGCGCGGACUUGGUCACAUUGCUGGGCGGCCACGCCUCGACGCCGGCCAUGGCUUCGGAAGAAAGAGGAGAGUCUGCGCGGUGGAGAUGGAAGAGAUGGCCGAAGAAAGAGUGGGAGGCAGGGGCUUUGUGGAGGGGCGAGCCCCCAACGGCCGCUUUUAUAGGAGGGGCGAGCCACGACCACGCCCCUGCGAGGAAGGCCAAGCGAGAGAGAGAGAGAGAGAGC